UCCGCAGGAGUUUCAAGUUUCCAACCGACAUAUUUGGACGUUUUUCACUCCAGCACUUAAUUUCUACUAAACAAAAACGUAGCCUUGUUUUUUUAACAGCAAUGGAAUUGGAGCCAAACAAAAUCAGUCCAAGGGCCACAAAUGGCCGCCGGGCUGGACUUUUGACACCUCAGAGUGAGACUUGACGACGGAGAAGCAGCUAAAAUGUGGGGAUUUCCUUUGAUACUCUCAAAUAUCCUACUGGAAGUGAGAAUCUGUGACGGAAUUCUUUUAGAUUGCCAAAACUUUCAGCUACUGCACUUCUCUUUAUCGCCACACUGUCAAACAAACCAAACUAAUGGAAAAACCUGUCCCUCUCCUCCUCAAAAUUGGGGGCAUUGUUCCAAGAACUACUGAAGGAAACGACAUGAGAACCUCAAAGAAGACGCUGAGGGUAAAAUGUAAACAAGAACGGAGUAGUGUCAGAUUUUAGCGGUUGGAGGAUUUCUAUUUUGUUUGGUUUUUGAUAAAAGACCACAAACCAUUUUCAGCGUUAGUGCUACCCAGAAUGCACUGCGCUGUAGUCCACUUCCUGCUUUUGGAGCGUUCACACACGCAUUCGAACCAGAGUUCAUCUCAACCAAACCGAGAUCAAACUGAGGGUUACAGUUAGCUUUUUUAGUUGGAGUCAUUCGUAAACGAACCAGACUUUCUAAUUUAACAAACUAGAGUUUAGUUAAAGUGAACAAACUAGGGCAGGAAUUUUUACCAUCUUACCAAAGUGGAAAAUGUCACCUCCAUGUUGAAACCAAAUGUCGCCCAACGCUGCCAUACGGAGGAAGGAAUUGUUGCAUUUCUCUUAUUCUGUAACACCAGAGUUAAAAUUAGCAGGAGGAACAUCCAACAGUGUGGACAGUUUCAUUCCAGCUGUAUUUGAGGCGCUCUCUCUGUUUAUAGUCGAAGGUUUUGGUUUGUCAUGAUGUCAGAUGAUGGCAAAGGUUAAAGUACGCAGACGGACGUAAAGCAUCGGCUUUAGAAGUGCUGAGCCGAGGAGAUGAACACAUCCGGAUCGGGUCAGGAACGCAGAUCUGCUGCAGCUGUUAGUCUGCCUGAAGUUUACACAAUAAACAAGUG